ACCUGCGGAGGGAUCAUUACACAAAUAUGAAGGCGGGCUGGAACCUCUCGGGGUUACAGCCUUGCUGAAUUAUUCACCCUUGUCUUUUGCGUACUUCUUGUUUCCUUGGUGGGUUCGCCCACCACUAGGACAAACAUAAACCUUUUGUAAUUGCAAUCAGCGUCAGUAACAAAUUAAUAAUUACAACUUUCAACAACGGAUCUCUUGGUUCUGGCAUCGAUGAAGAACGCAGCGAAAUGCGAUAAGUAGUGUGAAUUGCAGAAUUCAGUGAAUCAUCGAAUCUUUGAACGCACAUUGCGCCCUUUGGUAUUCCAAAGGGCAUGCCUGUUCGAGCGUCAUUUGUACCCUCAAGCUUUGCUUGGUGUUGGGCGUCUUGUCUCUAGCUUUGCUGGAGACUCGCCUUAAAGUAAUUGGCAGCCGGCCUACUGGUUUCGGAGCGCAGCACAAGUCGCACUCUCUAUCAGCAAAGGUCUAGCAUCCAUUAAGCCUUUUUUCAACUUUGACCUCGGAUCAGGUAGGAUGCCGAAUU
rnacentral:rRNA from 1 species